AGGGUGUAAACGCUGCAGACUUGGUGUUGGAAAUCCUUCGAGGGUAUUCAGUGCCGGAGAGAAGUUGUUAAGUCUGCUACUUGGGGAGUACGUCCGCAAGGAUGAAACUUAAGGGAAUUGGCGGGGGAGCACCGCAACGGGAGGAGCGUGCGGUUUAAUUGGAUUCAACACCGGAAAACUCACCAGGGGAGACUGUUACAUGAAACCCAGACUAAUGAUCUUGGUUGAUUUUUCAGAGAGGUGGUGCAUGGCGUCAGUGACU
rnacentral:rRNA from 1 species